CAUCUCGUGAGCUGUCCUGGAAGUCCAGUGCAGUCCACUGGAGAAGAAUGGAGGGAAGCUUCUGGCCAACAGCCCAUGAGGAACUGAGGUCUCUCAGUAGUGAUAGAAAUGACCUUAGAAGUGGACCCUUCCACCCCAUUGGAGCUAGGAGGCACAAGGAGACAAGAAGGCCAUAAUAAAAAGGACCCACCCUGGUGAUAUCUGGGGGCUGCUGAAUAAACAGAAAAGGAGAAGAUGCUACUUUACUCUGGGCCAGAAUCAAGAGUCCCAGGUGCAAUGGUUUCUAUGCUUUUUGGUUCAUGGUGAUGCUUCUGCUCCAGGCCAUUGGUAGCUGGCACAAGGCAGAAACUAA